UACGUAGGGGCCUAGCGUUGUCCGGAAUUACUGGGCGUAAAGAGUGUGUAGGCGGUGCUCCAAGUCUGGUGUGAAAUCUCCCGGCUUAACUGGGAGGGUGCAUUAGAAACUGGAAUGCUAGAGGAUGGGAGAGGUAAGCGGAAUUCCUGGUGUAGCGGUGAAAUGCGUAGAUAUCAGGAGGAACACCUGUGGUGUAGACAGCUUACUGGACCAUUUCUGACGCUGAGACACGAAAGCGUGGGUAGCAAACAGG
rnacentral:rRNA from 1 species